CAGAUUUGACCAAAUAGUUUAAUCUAUAGGAUUAAAUGUAUAGAAAUCACCUAUGUGAGGGCGAAGUGGAAGCCACUUCAAGGAGAAUGUUAGUAAAGGCCUAUUCUCUAAGCUCUCAUGAAAUCGAGACGUGUUCAUGGCCGAAAAGAACGAAACCAUGAGAACUAUAAACAGUAAAAGACUGGUUGUAUGACAUAUGUUGUCUAGGUGUAUACUAAAGCUCGACGGUUCUAGAUUGGUGUUCAAAAGGAUUGAAUAAUAUAAAAUGCACCAGCCUAUUGGAUCAUCAUUUAUCAUGUUUCCUAGCCCUGGAUGAACCAAUUACUAUGAUAACCCAAACAGACUAUGAAGCUGGCUGCUCACGAUGUUGGCACAUUUUGUGUCAUGAUUUCUUGUCUAAGAGGUAGAUAAUACUUUUACUUAGUAGGGUAGAAUCAAUUUCGUUUUAAUAAAAAAUAGCACAACAUGAUAUACAUUAAUAAUUUGGUACUUUUUGUUGCUUUGCAUACUUGGCAUGUUAGACCUAAUAGUUUUUGUUGUCAUAGGAAUAUCCACCUAUGUUGCAUGUCAGACCUUUUGUCAUAACAACAUUUUAUAGAGUGGCAGUUUAUUCGGCCAUGUUGUAUGGAGCGAAGUGUUGGCCAGUUAAGCAUGUUCACAUCUAACAAUUGAAGGUAGCGUAAAUGAGAAUGUUGCAUUGGAUGUGUGGGCUUACUAAAGGGGAUAGAGUUAGGAAUGAGAUCAUCCGGGAUAAAGUGGGAGUGGCUUUGGUGGAGGACAAGAUUCGGAAAGAAAGGCUGAGAUGGUUUGGGCAUGUGAUGAGGAGGGGCGCGGAUGCCCCGGUUUGAAGGUAUGAGAGGCUAGCGUUGGAUGGCUUCAGGAGGAGAAGAGGUAGGCUGAAGAAAUACUGGGGGGAGGUGAUUAGACAUGACGUGGAGCAGCUUCAGCUUAUUGAGGACAUGACCCUAGAUAGGAAGGCGUGGAGGUCGAGGAUUAGGGUAGAAGACUAGUGUUAGUGUGUGGGUUGUAGCUAGCAGUCAGGAGAAUUCUUAUGUAGCCGGAGUUAGUAAUCAUAGGUCAGUGUACAUAGGUGUCUUUGGGAUGUGAGUGUAUGUCACUACUAGGUGGGUGUCCUAUUUUCUAUUGCGUAGUUCCUAUUUUUCUUAUUCUCUGUUGCUCUUAUUUCCCCUAGUUCACAUUCCUGUGAUUUUAUUUUAUUAUUUCCUAUUCUUUAUUUUGGUUAUGUCAUCCAUCCCCUUGUUUAUUAUCCUUAUCUUGAGCCGGGGAUCUAUUGGAAAUAACCUCUCUGCUUCUUCAGAGUACCUCUUACCCUCCCCAGACCCCACGCUGUGGGAAUAUACUGAGUUUGUUGUUGUUGUUGCUUGGGCACUUUAAAAAUGCUGCCUGUUGAUCCUCCAAAAGUAUUGCAUUUUGGAGGAUCUGAACAGGUGCGACAAUAUUUUUGGAGAGUCGAGCAAUAUAGAUAUCCACACAAGGUCAAAAUAAUUUUUUUUAAUAAGGAAGGCUGAAAUAACAUAUUUUGUCUGUAAAAGAAAUAAAAGGAAGACUGUGUGGAAUAUGGUUCCUAUGUAGUUGAAGGCUGAUUCACAAGGAGUUUGUGGUUGGAAUACACAAGUUUCAUAUGUGGGAUCAGUGUGAAUAUGGCCUUAAAGUAAGGCAUUUGACUGCUUAUUGUUGGCUUAAUCCUAGGUAGACCAGCUGAUGUAUCCUUGUAGUGGGAUUUCUCAUGCUACAUUGUUAGUUGAUUAUGUUUAUAACUAUGUCUUAAAUAAAUCCUGUGUAAUGGUGAUGAUGGUAUGCAUUGGACAACUUUAAAUCCUAAGACAACAUUUAAUUUUUUGCUAUUACAUGUAUAUUCUUCGAACACAUACAUAUAUGCGCACAUUUUUGGUUUGUGUUUACACUUAAUUCAAAAGAAACUUUCAGGUAAUAAAUAUCUGGCGAAAUGUUGAAAUAUUAAGAUCCAUCAUAGUUCCCAUAUUUGAUUAUUCUAUUAAAGUGUGAUCUCCAUCACACAUACCAUAUCUGAUUAUUCUAGCCGCUACUCCCUAAUAACAAAUGUUUGGCCAAAUUCUUCUUCUUUUCCUUUUAUCUUUUUUUGAGAAAAGGAAUUCAUAUGGAUUUGAUAUAUCGUUCAUUUUUAUAAUGUUGUAAUUUAUUCUUUUGAAGUUCUAUACUGUAAAGUUGCUUGUUGCCUAACUUAGAGCCCGUUUGGAUAGGAUUAAAAAAUAGCUCUUUAGCUUAUGUGCUUAAAAGUCGAAAAUAAGUGCUUAUAAAUUAAGCAGUUAAGUGUUUGAAUAGAAUUGUUGAAACUGAAAAAAGUUGUUGAUGUGUCUGGUAAACAAGUGUUGUUAAUCACUUUUCUGUUGUCAAAAUGACUUAAAUGUCCUUAAAAUUAUUAACACCAUGUAUAAGUUGAAUUGUAUAUAAUUUUUAAUUCUAAUUAUUCAAAAACAAAGGAGAAAGAUGAAGAGGAAACUGGAGGGGAGAGAGGGAGAGAAGUGGCAAAAAGAAAAAGAAAGAAAAACAAUAUAUUUAAAGGCUACAAAUUUGGGAUAUUGUUGGAAUUGGAGGAAAAUAUAUGGGGUAAAAAGGUAAAUGUCUUGGUCAAACUUGAAAAGAAUUUAAUCUAAAAAGUAAAAAGGUGGGGUACCCAGCUUCUCACUUUUUGCCCUUUUUAAUCAGUUUUUAGACUUUUUUAUUUUACCAAACACCUAAAAAAAGAGAUUAAAAGCUGGUUUGACCUAUCCAAACGCGUACCAAAAAAAAAAAAAAAGAAAAUUGCUUGCUAGCUUAUUCAUCUAAUAAAACUAUAAAGUUGCUUCUUCUGCUUUCUGGUUGGUUAAAGCGACCAGGUUUCUUCUGGUUUUGAAAUUGGUUCGCUAGGGUUAACUCUCUUCAUGAUCAUGAAGGAAAAGAAGCUUGCGUGAGUGAUAUUUUUGCUAAUUUCAAGUUCUGUUAGUCUACAUUAUUUCACCUCUCUCUGUAGGCUGUUAUGAAGACUUUUAAAAAAAGGAACAGCAGCUGUUAGAAAGUUGCCUCGAGUUCUAUUAUAUUAAAAAUUGAUUGAAAUUUUGUAAUGCUCGUUUUAGGUCAUUUCCUGUUAUAAAUAUAUUAAAGAUCCUCUUCAGGCAGGUUUGCUGUUGCAUUGUGAAAGCCUCAAAUCUUUGAGGUAAUUAUCAUGAAAAUAUGUUUCGGAAAUUGCUGUUUGUAGUAUAGUUUAUAAGAGGAUUUUAAAGCAAACCCAAAAGAGUUGGGCAUCUCAGAAAGCCAUUGUUUUGUUUCUCAAUCAGCUUUUGGCUCGCUAUAGUUCCUACAUAUACACGCGUAUUCAAUUUUUUUUUUUUGAAUUCUCUGUUUUCUUAUUUAGUCGCUGUAUGGAUAUUUACUUCAACUACUUUUCUGCUAUAUUGACAAAGUAAAAAGAAAGCUCUCUCGUUCUUUUUUAUUUGAGAGUGGUAAGUUUAUAAUAUAUCAUCAGCACAAAGAAUUACAAAAAACAAAAGUAGGUCCUCGUUCGUCUUACAAGGAUUCUAUGAUGUCCUGCAGUGUAUCGAGAUCUUCUACCAAUUCUUCGUUACACCAGAAAUGAAUUAAACAUAGACAGUUCAUUUUGAUCUUCUGCACAUUGCUGGAUCUGUCUUCAAAGCAUUUUGUGUUUCUUCCUUCCAAAUAGUCGACCACAUGCAAGCAGGAAUUAUGUUAACAGGACCUUCAACUAUUUUCUAGCAAGCCAAAUAAUCUCCAGUAGACUUGGGCAUAAUCCAGUUGAUUCUUCCAUAUCACAAAGAAUUGCCAUGUCUAUCAUUGACUGGACAGUGUAAAAGGAGAUGAUUAAUGCUCUCUACUUCCUUCUCACACAAAUAACAUAUUGAUCACGGUUUCAUUCUCCUUCUCAUCAAGUUAUCUUGAGUUAGGCAUGCUUCCUUUGCAAUGAACCAUGAGAAACAUGCCACCUUGUAUGGUAUUUUCACUUUCUAGAUGUGGUUCCAGGGCCAAUUGUUGAUUUGUUGUCUGUAGGGAUUGAGUGCAGCUUUAGCAUAUGAAGAUUUCACUGUGCAGUCUCUUUUCUAUGUUUCUGCCAAAUCAAUCUAUCUUCACUUGUUCGAGUACCUUGGAAUGGCUCCAAACCUCUGAAGAACUUAGCCUUACUGAUAACUUUCCAAUAAUUUAAAAGUCGUAUUAAUUUUAGCUUCCAGCCUUGUUGAUCCCAAGCUUCAUGAAUUUGCUUCAGGCUGCUGAUGACUUAAGUCGAAGCUACUCAUUCUUCUUUUGCUGUGCUAGUUAAUGUACAUGUCAUAUGGGAAGGUUGCCUCUUUAUGAAUUCUGGUUAUUAUCAUUUAGAGGAAAAAUAUGUCCAAUACCUGAUUUUUUUUGUGCAUUUUGCUGAACUUGCAGAGGGUGUCCGUGCAGGGACUAAAGCAGCUGCAGUUGCAUGUGUUGCUAGUGCAAUUCCUACGUGAAAAAACUACGUUUCUCCAUCAUCUUGUUUUCCACACAAUGGCAUCCAAUCUUCGGGGUUAUGUCGUGAACCUUGAUCCUGCUGUCUUAACCCUGCCAUUUGGUGAAUCGAUAUUAGAGACACUGUUCGAUACAAGGAAGUCAUGAAGCAAUUAAAUCUUGGGCCAAAUGGAGGAAUUCUUACUUCACUGAACUUGUUUGCCACAAAGUUUGAUGAGAUGAGAGACUUAGGUGAUGCAAGGAUCAUCACUAGAAUAACUGGUACUGUUAGCUGAGAAAGAAGCUUGGUCAUAUGCAAAGCAAAGGGGAAAAGAUAUGGUAACUAUGCUCCCAACACUUGUUAUAGGGUCGAUGUUGCAGAAGACAACAAAUGCAAGUAAUUUGGUUCUCAUUAAGCUGCUGAAAGGUACCAAGAAAUCAUAGUUAUACUUCACUAUUUUAGUGUUUCUGCAUCAUUUCUUCUUCUUCUACAUUUUUUGCAUGAGUUGCUUUGGGAAUAAUCAGAAUUCACUUUUCCGCACAAGCUUCUUAAUUAUUUUUUCCUUGCAAGCAUGAGCGUCCAUUUAGCAUGCAAAUUGUCAUUUCACUUUUGUUCCUUCCGAAAAAAUUGACACAUGAUAGUAUUGUAUCAGUUUCUUGAACUAAGUAUUAGAUUGGAGGAUAUUAAGCUGAUGUGUGUUAGCUAGAUUAUUUAUAGUCAAAAAAACAUUUUUCUCCUGAUGUUUUGUUCAAUUUGAUAAUGUUCCUGCUUGUUAAAAUACCAAGCAAAUAUCCUUUAUGGUGGCAACUACAAAUUCAACCAAAGUCCUAAUAAGAGUUGCUUCUCUGCAGAUAGCUUUUACUUUUGUUGUUUAUCCAUCAUUAAUUCUUGCUUAUAUGGGACAAGCUGCAUAUCUUUCCAAGCAUCACAUUAUUGAAAGUGAUUACCACAUUGGCUUCUAUGUAUCAGUACCUAGUACAUUUUCAUGUUCACACACAUGGUCAUUAAGGAAAAUCUUUCGAUGAUGAACAUUCCCGAAUCGUCCAUGAAAGAUAUGAAGAAAUAUUAUGAGAAAAAAUAUUUUCAGAAUCUGAUAUUGAUCAAAUUGAAGCAUAUUGCCAAGCUGUGGGGGAUGAAAAAGUGAAGACUAUUUGGUCUUGGAUAUGAAGCAAAAGGCUACUACUUUGGACGAUCUUGAUUCCUUAGUUGAUGAUUGCAAUCUUGAGCAGUUGUGAUACUUUUGACGAUUAGUGCAUUGGUUUUUUAUGGUCUAUUUUGUUGAAAAUGUUUAAAAUUGUGCAACAACAAUAUACACUUGAUGGAUGUGGGUUAUUUUAAGAAUAGUUUGUAGAUUUUUGGACAUAAUUGUGUUUAGAUGGGUGUUGUGAUACUAUGGAUGUUUUAGACAUAAUUGUGUUUAGAUUUUGCUA